AAGGUAGACGAGUAGAACUUUACCUGUCAGUCACCUAGCGACAGCACAAAACAAAGAGGAAGGAGGCAGUGAGGCAAAAGAGCCCAGGAAAUCAAGAAAGCUCGUGCAAGCCAUGGCGGGAGUUGCGUCCCUCAACGCCCUCGCUCUCCGCGCACCUUCCCCAUCACCCGCGGCCCCGUCCCCGCGCCGCGGCACCGUCGCCGGUGCCCUCGCGUUCCCGACACCGCCGCGCUUCCCGUUGCUGCGUGCCGCGCGCCGCGUCCUGGCGCGUGCGGUGGCGGCGGGCGGGGACUCCGAAGACGAGUGGGGGCCGGAGCCUGAGGGUGGGUCCGCGGUCACGGGGACGGCGGUGGCCGAGGCGUCCGACCCGGAGGCGAGCGAGGUGGCAGAGCUCAAGGCGCAGCUCAAGGAGGCGCUGUACGGCACAGAGCGGGGUCUUCGCGCGUCCAGCGAGACGCGGGCCGAGGUGGUCGAACUCAUCACGCAGCUCGAGGCGCGCAACCCCACGCCGGCGCCCACCGAGGCGCUAACGCUCCUCAACGGCAAGUGGAUCCUCGCGUAAGAAACCGCCUUCUGAUCCCGUUCUCCUUUUCUUUCCCCCCUCAGCAGCUACUGCUUUCUUUUGCGGUCGCCGGUUGCUCAAAUUUAUCUUAUGUCUUCUGAACGUAUACUACUAGAAGCGGCUAAUUUUGAUUCACAAUUUGAUAAGCGAGUUACGCAUUCGCAUUUGCAUUGGGUGCUAAUCUAUGAAUCACUUGAUCAAUACUGAAAACUGCAUACAUAGUUGAGAGGUACCUUUUACAUCUGAGAUUGAGAUUGGCUGAUGAAAAUUUGUUUAGAAACUUCUGCCAAUUGUGUGGUUCAGUAAUCAGGGGCGAAGCCAGAUGAAAAUGGUGCCGGGGUCAUCCCUAUUGCAUGCUGGGGUCUUUUCCUUUGAAGAACAGCUGAACAGUUAUUCUCAUUGGUUUUGGAGAAAUUCAUCAGGGUCAGCUGACCCCGAUGACAAAGCCUAGCUCCGCCCCUGUCAGUAAUAAAUUUCGCUUUUGUGGUUAACUAGGCCAAUUCACUAGGUGGGCACGACCGAUUUGCUGCCAUUGCAAUUGCCACCAUCCCUUAUUUGUCACUGCCCAGUGACAUAGAUGAGUCCCAUGCGUCAUUGAUACAUUGACAGCAAACAAGGGAUGGCAGAAUUUUGCAAUGGCGAGUAAGGGAUCGCCUCUAUUUUUUUUUUGAGAUUACAGAACACACUUGCCUAAGCCCUGUUCAAGUCCACGGAUUAUGUUUUAUUGGGUGGUUGCAGGAACCUGUUUUUGCCAUUGCUAUCUGUCACUUACGAUACUUUUUUGGGGUAAUAGGGCUUGAAUAUUGAAUUGCGAUUUUUGGUAGUUGGGUAAUCACAUUGAUCCACAGGUAACCUUUUUUUCUGAUCAUCACAUCUUAAACAUGGAUAUCUGGAAUCAACUGUAAGAGGACAUGGAUAUGCUGUUGACAAACCAUGAGAGGACAUGGAUGUGCCAGUUAUGAUGGCUUCACUGCUUUGAUAACUGAACUGCAGUCAACAUCAUGAUUAAACAUAGUUCUGACUUCUGAAACUGACUAAUUGGAAUUUUGAGGAAGUUCAUUGAAGUGAAACUCUUUUUGAAUGAAACUGCAGCAGCUGUAAGAGAUUUAGGAGUCUGAUUAACCACGUGAUUUCAGGUACACAUCAUUUUCUCAACUAUUCCCUCUGCUGGGGUCCGGAAGGCUACCUGAGCUUGUAAAGGUGGAGGAGAUAUCACAGACUAUUGAUUCGGAGACUUUCACAGUGCAAAACUGCAUCAAGUUUUCAGGACCAUUGGCUACAACCUCAGUUUCCACCAAUGCUAAAUUUGAAAUUAGAAGCCCCAAGCGUGUGCAGGUGAAGUUCUGUCAUCCUCAUCCAAGUAGCCAUUUUUCACCUAUGAUUGAAUGCAUUUUAUCGGCCUUCUUGAACCACAUGUGGCACUUGUAGGACAGAACCUUGAGUGAAUUUGGCUAGAUGUUAUUAACAAAUUCAUAUGGUUCUCAAUCUAUCCAGAUCAAAUUUGAUGAAGGUGUUAUCGGAACCCCACAACUGACCGACUCCAUUGUGCUACCUGAGAAGUUUGAGUUCUUUGGACAGAACAUCGACCUGAGCCCAUUGAAAGGCAUAUUUUCUUCCAUCGAAAAUGCAGCGUCCUCGGUUGCAAAUACCAUCUCUGGUCAGCCACCACUGAAGAUACCGAUUACAACCAACAAUGCUGAGUCCUGGCUGCUCACAACCUACCUUGACGAAGAGCUCAGGAUCUCUAGAGGCGACGGUAGCAGCAUCUUUGUGCUGUUCAAGGAGGGAAGCUCCCUUCUAAACUAGGAUCCACAUCCUGGGUAUAGGAUUCGAUGUUGGAGGGCGAACCUUGGAAGCAUUAUGCUGACCAUGGUUCCUUUUUCUUGAUUUGUGUUUAUAGUAUAUUUGUCGGCUGUUUGCUCUAGAAUUGGU
rnacentral:lncRNA from 1 species